rnacentral:rRNA from 1 species
UACGGGGGGGGCGAGCGUUGUUCGGAAUCACUGGGCGUAAAGGGCGUGUAGGCGGUCAGGUAAGUGGGAUGUGAAAGCCCUCGGCUCACCCGAGGAUCUGCAUCUCAAACUGCCUGGCUUGAGUAUGGGAGAGGAUGAGGGAAUUCCUGGUGUAGCGGUGAAAUGCGUAGAUAUCAGGAGGAACACCGGUGGCGAAGGCGCUCAUCCGGCCCAAUACUGACGCUGAGGCGCGAAAGCUAGGGGAGCAAACGGG